rnacentral:misc_RNA from 1 species
UACGAAGGGUGCAAACGUUGCUCGGAAUCAUUGGGCGUAAAGCGCACGUAGGCGGCUUCGCAAGUCGGAUGUGAAAUCCCUCGGCUCAACCAAGGAAGUGCAUCCGAAACUGCGGGGCUUGAGUAUGGAAGAGGGUCGCGGAAUUCCCGGUGUAGAGGUGAAAUUCGUAGAUAUCGGGAGGAACACCAGUGGCGAAGGCGGCGACCUGGGCCAAUACUGACGCUGAGGUGCGAAAGCGUGGGGAGCAAACAGG